rnacentral:rRNA from 1 species
GACGAACGCUGGCGGCGUGCUUAACACAUGCAAGUCGAGCGGUAAGGCCCUUUCGGGGGUACACGAGCGGCGAACGGGUGAGUAACACGUGGGUGACCUGCCUUUAGCUCUGGGAUAAGCCUGGGAAACCGGGUCUAAUACCGGAUAUGACUCCGCGGCGCAUGUUGUGGGGUGGAAAGCCUUGUGCGGCUGGAGAUGGGGCCCGCGGCCUAUCAGCUUGUUGGUGGGGUGAUGGCCUACCAAGGCGACGACGGGUAGCCGGCCUGAGAGGGCGACCGGCCACACUGGGACUGAGACACGGCCCAGACUCCUACGGGAGGCAGCAGUGGGGAAUCUUGCGCAAUGGGCGAAAGCCUGACGCAGCGACGCCGCGUGAGGGAUGACGGCCU